rnacentral:rRNA from 1 species
GAUGAACACUGGCGGCGUGCUUAACACAUGCAAGUCGAACGAUGAAGCCGGAGCUUGCUCUGGUGAAUUAGUGGCGAACGGGUGAGUAACACGUGAGUAACCUGCCCUUGACUCUGGGAUAACUGCGGGAAACUGUAGCUAAUACCGGAUACGACCCUCGGAGGCAUCUCCUGGGGGUGGAAAGAAUUUCGGUCAAGGAUGGACUCGCGGCCUAUCAGCUAGUUGGUGAGGUAAAGGCUCACCAAGGCGACGACGGGUAGCCGGCCUGAGAGGGUGACCGGCCACACUGGGACUGAGACACGGCCCAGACUCCUACGGGAGGCAGCAGUGGGGAAUAUUGCACAAUGGGCGCAAGCCUGAUGCAGCAACGCCGCGUGAGGGAUGACGGCCUUCGGGUUGUAAACCUCUUUUAGCAGGGAAGAAGCGAAAGUGACGGUACCUGCAGAAAAAGCACCGGCUGACUACGUGCCAGCAGCCGCCGUAA